rnacentral:rRNA from 1 species
GACGAACGCUGGCGGCGUGCCUAACACAUGCAAGUCGAACGGAAAGGCCCUGCUUUUGUGGGGUGGUCGAGUGGCGAACGGGUGAGUAACACGUGAGUAACCUGUCCCUGACUUUGGGAUAACUUCAGGAAACUGGGGCUAUUACCGGAUAGGAGCUCCUGCUGCAUGGUGGGGGUUGGUAAGUUUCGGUGGUUGGGGAUGGACUCGCGGCUUAUCAGCUUGUUGGUGGGGUAGUGGCUUACCAAGGUUUUGACGGGUAGCCGGCCUGGGAGGGGGACCGGCCACAUUAGACCUGAGAUACGGCCCAGACUCGUACGGUAGGCAACGGUGGAGAAUGGUACACAGUGGACGGGAGCCUGAUGUGGCCACGCCGCGUGCGGGAAGACGGCAUUGGGGUUGUAAACCGCUGUCGCCUUUCACGAGACGUGAGUGACGGUAAUGGGUAAAUAAGCACCGGCUAACUACGUG